CGCGAAACCUUUACACUGCACGCAAGUGCGAUAAGGGGACCCCGAGUGCGAGGGCAUACAGUCCUCGCUUUUCACUACCGUACGAUGGUAGUGGAAUAAGAGCUGGGCAAGACCGGUGCCAGCCGCCGCGGUAAUACCGGCAGCUCGAGUGAUGGCCGAUCUUAUUGGGCCUAAAGCGUUCGUAGCCGGCCACACAAGUCCACCGGGAAAUCCGCCAGCCCAACUGGCGGGCGUCCGGUGGAAACUGUGUGGCUAGGGACCGGAAGACCCGAAGGGUACGUCUUGGGUAGGAGUGAAAUCCUGUAAUCCUGGACGGACCGCCGAUAGCRAAAGCACUUCGGGAAGACGGAUCCGACGGUGAGGGACGAAAGCCAGGGUCUCGAACCGGAUUAGAUACCCGGGUAGUCCUGGCCGUAAACGAUGUCUGCUAGGUGUGGCUCCCACUACGAGUGGGUGCUGUGCCGUAGGGAAGCCGCUAAGCAGACCGCCUGGGAAGUACGUCCGCAAGGAUGAAACUUAAAGGAAUUGGCGGGGGAGCACUACAACCGGAGGAGCCUGCGGUUUAAUUGGAAUCA
rnacentral:rRNA from 1 species